AUUGAACGCUGGCGGCAUGCCUUACACAUGCAAGUCGAACGGCAGCACGGGUGCUUGCCCCUGGUGGCGAGUGGCGAACGGGUGAGUAGUACAUCGGAACAUGUCCUGUAGUGGGGGAUAGCCCGGCGAAAGCCGGAUUAAUACCGCAUACGAUCCACGGAUGAAAGCGGGGGACCUUCGGGCCUCGCGCUAUAGGGUUGGCCGAUGGCUGAUUAGCUAGUUGGUGGGGUAAAGGCCUACCAAGGCGACGAUCAGUAGCUGGUCUGAGAGGACGACCAGCCACACUGGGACUGAGACACGGCCCAGACUCCUACGGGAGGCAGCAGUGGGGAAUUUUGGACAAUGGGCGAAAGCCUGAUCCAGCAAUGCCGCGUGUGUGAAGAAGGCCUUCGGGUUGUAAAGCACUUUUGUCCGGAAAGAAAUCCUUGACUCUAAUACAGUCGGGGGAUGACGGUACCGGAAGAAUAAGCACCGGCUAACUACGUG
rnacentral:rRNA from 1 species